rnacentral:rRNA from 1 species
UACGAAGGGGGCUAGCGUUGCUCGGAAUCACUGGGCGUAAAGCGCACGUAGGCGGCUUUCUAAGUCAGGGGUGAAAUCCUGGAGCUCAACUCCAGAACUGCCUUUGAUACUGGGGAGCUCGAGUCCGGAAGAGGUGAGUGGAACUCCGAGUGUAGAGGUGAAAUUCGUAGAUAUUCGGAAGAACACCAGUGGCGAAGGCGGCUCACUGGUCCGGUACUGACGCUGAGGUGCGAAAGCUAGGGGAGCAAACAGG